AUCUUUGCGCAGAGGCGUUAACGUAUCCAAUGAGGUUUAACCGAGGAGCGUUUAUUGCUAGUUGAAAACUUUUACCAAUACCCCGCUGAGACGACGUGAAAUACCGUCGGCUAUGGCAAUUUUUGCUGGUCGAAAGACC
rnacentral:snRNA from 1 species